AGAACGAACGCUGGCGGCAGGCCUAAUACAUGCAAGUCGAACGCACUCUUCGGAGUGAGUGGCAAACGGGUGAGUAACACGUGGGUGACCUGCCUUCGAGUGGGGGAUAACGUCCCGAAAGGGACGCUAAUACCGCAUGACAUCCUGUCUUUGGAAAGACGGAGAUCAAAGCUGGGGAUCGCAAGACCUGGCGCUUGAAGAGGGGCCCGCGCCUGAUUAGCUAGUUGGUGGGGUAACGGCCUACCAAGGCGACGAUCAGUA
rnacentral:rRNA from 1 species